rnacentral:rRNA from 1 species
CCUACGGGGGGCAGCAGUGGGGAAUAUUGGACAAUGGGCGAAAGCCUGAUCCAGCCAUGCCGCGUGUGUGAAGAAGGCCUUCGGGUUGUAAAGCACUUUCAGUGGGGAAGAAAGCCUUGGGGCUAAUACCCUCGAGGAAGGACAUCACCCACAGAAGAAGCACCGGCUAACUCCGUGCCAGCAGCCGCGGUAAUACGGAGGGUGCGAGCGUUAAUCGGAAUUACUGGGCGUAAAGCGCGCGUAGGCGGUCUGAUAAGCCGGUUGUGAAAGCCUCGGGCUCAACCUGGGAACGGCAUCCGGAACUGUCAGGCUAGAGUGCAGGAGAGGAAGGUAGAAUUCCCGGUGUAGCGGUGAAAUGCGUAGAGAUCGGGAGGAAUACCAGUGGCGAAGGCGGCCUUCUGGACUGACACUGACGCUGAGGUGCGAAAGCGUGGGUAGCAAACAGGAUUAGAUACCCCAGUAGUC